rnacentral:rRNA from 1 species
AGAACGAACGCUGGCGGCAUGCCUAACACAUGCAAGUCGAACGAGACCCCCGUCUUCGGAUGGCGGGUCUAGUGGCGCACGGGUGCGUAACGCGUGGGAAUCUGCCCUUGGGUUCGGAAUACAGUUAGAAAUGACUGCUAAUACCGGAUGAUGUCUUCGGACCAAAGAUUUAUCGCCCAAGGGAUGAGCCCGCGUAAGAUUAGCUAGUUGGUAGGGUAAGGCCUACAGGCUACGAUCUUAGCUGGUCUGAGAGGAUGAUCAGCCACACUGGGACUGAGACACCGGCCAGACCUCCGUACGGGAGCAGCGAGUGGGAAUAGUUGGACAAGUGGGACGAAAGCCUGACUCCAGCAAUCGGCCGCGUGAGU